CGACCGAAACCGAAGAACAGAGCAAAGGCUCUUCGGUCUCUCUCUACCUCCACCGGCCACCAAACGGCGUCGAACCACUUCCUUUUGCUUCGUCUCAGCCUUGCGCAGCUGCCAGAGGCAGCCUUGCACCGUGACACGGCCACCAGCGGCGGCGGGAAACUCCGCCCGGUUUGAGCUCGUUUUGGAACCAAGCUUGAUAUCUCAAGCUACCGGUCACCAAUCCUCACCAAAAUCCAUCCACAAGCUUGCCUCAACUUCCUGAAGCUCCCAGAAGCAGCCUCACACGGCGGCGUGGCCCGUAGCAGUGGCUGCAAGUCAAACCCAACCAAGAACGAAACCGGAGCUAUCGAUCCGGAUAUCUCGAGCUACAGACCAUCAUUUCUUGUGAUUCUUGAGCUGGUGAACUCAGAUUGAAGUUUUGAACAACUUUCAUGAAGGGAUCGAAGCGAGAAAUUGAAGUUUUUACGUCGGAAUUCAAGCUCGCCGGAUUCUGGAAAUUUUCCGGCCACCGACGCUUUCGAUCAAGAUAUCUCGAGCUGUAGAGCUUCGUUUUGAGUGAUUCUUGAACCAGUGAGUUCGUCUUUAAGUUCUGAACAAGUCUCCUGAAGGAAUCGAAGCGAAAGGAGGACAUUUUUACGUUGAUCGGAGCUUCGCCAGUUUCUGCAAAUUCUCGCCGGUUUCUGGAAAAAUUCCGGCCACCUCGACUGUUUUAGGUGAUCGAUGGAUUUAUUUGGCGGACGAUUCGUGAGAUUGUUAAUUGAGCUGUUAAGAAGACGCAGCUGGAUCAGAGCGGAUAAUCCUACAGGACUGGAGAAUUCAGGAAGGUGAUCGAACCGUGUAGAGUAGCUGCUUUGUAAUACUCUGAUUUUCAGUUGUGAGGUUUGUUAUGCUCAUUAGAGCUUUACAAUUUACUUUGUACGAGUGAGUUGUAAUAAUUAACUCGAGGUCUUCGAGUUUUGAAUUUGAGCGUGAGUGGCGAGGUUGUUUCUGAGAAAAAAAAAUUCAGAACGUUUAUUUGUUUAAGUUGUUUAAUUCA